UGGCAAGCGUUAUCCGGAAUUUUUGGGCGUAAAGGGAGCGUAGGCGGAUUCUUAAGUGGGAUGUGAAAUACUCGGGCUUUACCUGAGUGCUGCAUUCCAAACUGGGAAUCUAGAGUGCAGGAGGGGAGAGUGGAAUUCCUAGUGUAGCGGUGAAAUGCGUAGAGAUUAGGAAGAACACCAGUGGCGAAGGCGACUCUCUGGACUGUAACUGACGCUGAGGCUCGAAAGCGUGGGGAGCAAA
rnacentral:rRNA from 1 species